UAUAAAUAAUAUGUUGGGCCUCCACACUUCAAUUGGGGAUGUAGCUCAAAUGGUAGAGCGCUCGCUUUGCAUGCGAGAGGCACGGGGUUCGAUCCCCCGCAUCUCCAAAUUUUAUUACCCCCUUUUUUUUUUUUUUUUUACUCUCCCUCAUCUUCUAGUUCUAGUUCCGCCAAAUCUCCUUUCAACACCGCAUACUUUUUAUUGUCGAUUACCCCCCAUUCUCUGAGAGAAAACCAACCUCCUCUUGGCUCCCAUUGACAACAACAGCCUAUCUCUUACCAAGGCUCGGAUGAACUUCAGAGGCUGCUCAGUGAUUAUUGUAAGAAAGGAUUUCACUGAUUGCAUUUCAAGCUAGCACCGGACUGGAGGCAGAAGAUGGUAUAAGUGCUUACAAGUACAGUAUCUUUCGUUACAAAUUCGAGCAGCCUAUCAAGGAUUGCCUUGAAGAGGGUCCCUGUUUCACAUGUACAUCAUGUAUCUCAAUCCUUUUGUCAAAUUAUGUGUCUUCUACAUGUUUGAUUUUCCUAUAACCCCACCCAAGUUGAAUGGCAUCAAAAAGAAGUCAUGAAUUCCUAUUAGUUACACUUGUCUGGUUUUAGACAUGUAAACAUACUAUAUUAAUCAUCCUUUUUAAUCAUAGUGUCCACCAGCAACAUCUUUUAACAUGUUCAUGUUUCUAUAUAUAAGUUGUUAGUCUAAGUGUACUAUAUUGAACAGGGUUGUUUACCCAUGCUUCCAGAGUAGCAUGGGAGUCCUUCACCACUUUUGACCAUAUCUUAUAAUGCCCCUUACCCAUAUUUUG